UUGAGUUUACUUAAUUAAUGGAAAGCGGCGGACGAGCGAGUAACACGUAAGAACCUGCCCUAUACUCAGGGAUAACGGCUCGAAAGAGUCGCUAAUACCGGAUGGUCUCGAAAGAGUAAAGAUUUAUCGGUAUAGGAGGGGCUUGCGGCUUAUCAGUUAGUUGGUGGGGUAAAAGCCUACCAAGACUAUGACGAGUAGCUGGUGUGAGAGCAUGACCAGCCGCGAUGGGACUGAGACACGGCCCAUACUCC
rnacentral:rRNA from 1 species